UACGGAGGGUGCAAGCGUUAUCCGGAUUCACUGGGUUUAAAGGGUGCGUAGGUGGGUUGAUAAGUCAGUGGUGAAAUCCCCGAGCUUAACUUGGGAACUGCCAUUGAUACUAUUGAUCUUGAAUACCGUGGAGGUCAGCGGAAUAUGUCAUGUAGCGGUGAAAUGCUUAGAUAUGACAUAGAACACCAAUUGCGAAGGCAGCAGGCUACGCGAAUAUUGACACUGAUGCACGAAAGCGUGGGGAUCAAACAGG
rnacentral:rRNA from 1 species